UACAGAGGUGGCAAGCGUUGUUCGGAAUUACUGGGCGUAAAGGGCGCGUAGGCGGUCUUGCAAGUCCCGUGUGAAAUCCCUCGGCUCAACUGAGGAACUGCACGGGAAACUGCUUGGCUUGAGUUCGGGAGAGGGAAGCGGAAUUCCGGGUGUAGCGGUGAAAUGCGUAGAUAUCCGGAGGAACACCGGUGGCGAAGGCGGCUUCCUGGACCGACACUGACGCUGAGGCGCGAAAGCUAGGGGAGCGAACGGG
rnacentral:rRNA from 1 species